UCAAACUUGGUCAUUUAGAGGAAGUAAAAGUCGUAACAAGGUCUCCGUUGGUGAACCAGCGGAGGGAUCAUUACUGAGUUUUCUAAACUCCCAAACCCAUGUGAACAUACCUUUUGUUGCCUCGGCAGUGGUGCCGUCGCCCCUCGCGGCGGCGGCAGCCUGCCGGCGGACCCAAUAAACUCUUGUUGUUACAGUGUCAUUCUGAAUUAAAAAACUUAAUUAGUUAAAACUUUCAACAACGGAUCUCUUGGUUCUGGCAUCGAUGAAGAACGCAGC
rnacentral:misc_RNA from 1 species